UAUGAUUGGUGAUCUACACCUUUGUAACCCAAGUUUGUUCUGAUGUCUGCCAUCAUUCCAGCUGACUCUCACAGUGGUGAACUUUAUAACAGCUGUCAGAAUGGGAACCAGAACUAUUACCUCAGUGAAAGCCAAGACAUUUUCAUUGUUCAAUUAACCAAUGCGAAUCAUGUGACACCUGCUGAGAGUGCAUGUUCAUUCAGCAGACAGUUGGUAAAGGACAAAAAGCAAACACAAAGUAAGGAAGGAAGGCUUGAGGGCAGAGACUUUCAUUAUUUCUGUGCAUGGAAACUGAAAUGAUGACGGUCCUUGUAUAGAGAUCCAGACACUUCGUUCCCAAGGUGAUGUGAAAUGGUGCGAAGUGUUGUGUAUGUCUUCUGCCUUCACUCUACUAGACCACUACUGCAUGGAUCUUCAGUAUCUUCAGUUAGAACUGUGAUGACACUGAGGAAAUAUUCUACAAUCUUCACCAUGGUCAUGGUUGAAUUGUAAUUACAACAUAGCAAUCGCUGUGCUGUGUGAAGUCUGCAUGUAUGUGUUUCUAAGAAAGUGACAAGGUGUGUUAGAAAGUGAC